rnacentral:rRNA from 1 species
GAUGAACGCUGGCGGCGUGCCUAAUACAUGCAAGUCGAGCGAACAGACGAGGAGCUUGCUCCUCUGACGUUAGCGGCGGACGGGUGAGUAACACGUGGAUAACCUACCUAUAAGACUGGGAUAACUUCGGGAAACCGGAGCUAAUACCGGAUAAUAUAUUGAACCGCAUGGUUCAAUAGUGAAAGACGGUUUUGCUGUCACUUAUAGAUGGAUCCGCGCCGCAUUAGCUAGUUGGUAAGGUAACGGCUUACCAAGGCAACGAUGCGUAGCCGACCUGAGAGGCGGAUCGGCCACACUGGAACUGAGACACGGUCCAGACUCCUACGGGAGGCAGCAGUAGGGAAUCUUCCGCAAAGGGCGAAAGCCUGACGGAGCAACGCCGCGUGAGUGAUGAAGGUCUUCGGAUCGUAAAACUCUGUUAUUAGGGAAGAACAAAUGUGUAAGUAACUAUGCACGUCUUGACGGUACCUAAUCAGAAAGCCACGGCUAACUACGUG